GACGAACGCAGGCGGCGUGCUUAACACAUGCAAGUCGAACGGAAAGGCCCUGCUUUUGUGGGGUGCUCGAGUGGCGAACGGGUGAGUAACACGUGAGUAACCUGCCCUUGACUUUGGGAUAACUUCAGGAAACUGGGGCUAAUACCGGAUAGGAGCUCCUGCUGCAUGGUGGGGGUUGGAAAGUUUCGGCGGUUGGGGAUGGACUUGCGGCUUAUCAGCUUGUUGGUGGGGUAGUGGCUUACCAAGGCUUUGACGGGUAGCCGGCCUGAGAGGGUGACCGGCCACAUUGGGACUGAGAUACGGCCCAGACUCCUACGGGAGGCAGCAGUGGGGAAUAUUGCACAAUGGGCGGAAGCCUGAUGCAGCAACGCCGCGUGCGGGAUGACGGCCUUCGGGUUGUAAACCGCUUUCGCCUGUGACGAAGCGUGAGUGACGGUAAUGGGUAAAGAAGCACCGGCUAACUACGUG
rnacentral:rRNA from 1 species